rnacentral:ribozyme from 1 species
UGCCCAGUAACUCCUAUCCAUACCUCCUCGCGGUUUUGGCCGGGGUACGAGUAACCUUAGGGAAGAUCGGGUAGCCAACCCCGGUGGGAACUCUGGUCGUAUGCUGACAGGGAAGG